AUCGUGCCACUGCACUCCAGCCUGGGUGAGUGACAGAGAGAGACUGUCUCAAAAUAAAACAAAAAACGAGAAGGGCAAGGGGUUCACAAUCUGGUUCCAUUCAUAUGCCAAAUCUAGUGGAAAUGACUUUCCUAUAAGCUGAAGGGCAGUUCAGAGGAAGAUGACACAGGUGGCAGAUGUGUGUCUCUCAUUUUCUGAUAAUGAAUAGAUCCUCCCCCACUAAUUUUAUUAAGUGCAUUAUAAUUUUUCCUCUUCUGGUAAGUAAUAUAAAACAUCAUAUGUUUGAUUAAUGUAAAUAGGAACAUGCACCAGCUGAUUUUUGAUAGGUCAGAAGUUGACUGGAGACAGAACAAUAAUUUCACUGACAAAUGCACUGGAUGUAUCCAGAGAGCAAAUUCCGAAAAAGGUAAGAAGGACUGAAGAUCUGAGCUGAAAAAUACAAAGAGGAAGAAAGCAAGCAAAGGAAAUGUAAAUUAAUUUGUCAGGAGCUAGCUUGUGCCUCUAUUAUAUGCAAAUUUCCAUCCUCCUCAUUUCACCAAGAAAGAACUUUGACCGAAUGGAGAAGUUACUGGGGACUGGCAGUGGGUGUGAUUAGAAGGAGGAGGAAAUUGGCUGCAUGACAAGGAUUUAACAGCCCAGAAAGGAAGAUGGCUAUAAGAAUAAGUAACUCAAAUAAAAUAAAUCUUGACAAUGCUGUGAGGAGACUAUUCAUUGCUCUCCCGAGAGAAAACCCCUGAGACUUUGUGGAAACAAAGAUGUCAUCAUGGAGGAUAAAUUUGACUGGAGGCAUGCACAUGUACAAAAACUAAAGAAAAGUUUUCCAGACAAAGAACUUGAAAAAGUGGUGAUAUGAUGCACAUCUGGCUCUCAGACAGAUACGGCAUCUACUGUGUCAUUUAAUGCUCACUUACACAGGCAUGAGGUCCUGCCCCAAGCCAUUGGUCUUCCCAUUUUUCUCCCAACACUCCAGAAGUGAUAAGUAGUUUUCUAAACACCUCAUUUGAAAAAGAAGAAGAACGAAGGACGAAGACGAAGACGAAGAAGAAGAAGAAUGAGGAGGAGGAG